rnacentral:rRNA from 1 species
CAAUAGCGUAUAUUAAAGUUGUUGCAGUUAAAAAGCUCGUAGUUGGAUUUCUGGUUGAAGCGACCGGGCGGGCGUUGAUUCGUCUGCACUGGAGUCGGUUUUGGCCAUCCUCUAGGAAAGUGCGUCUGGUAUUAAGUUAUCGGGCGUAUGAUCCUGGUCUUUUACUGUGAAAAAAUUAGAGUGUUUAAAGCAGGCCUUCGCCUUGAAUACAUUAGCAUGGAAUAAUAAGAUAGGACUUUGGUCUAUUUUGUUGGUUUGCAGACCGAAGUAAUGAUUAAUAGGGAUAGUUGGGGGUAUUUAUAUUCCGAUGUCAGAGGUGAAAUUCUUAGAUUUUCGGAAGAUAAACUUAUGCGAAAGCAUUUACCAAGGAUGUUUUCAUUAA